AUCAAUAGGUUUCCCGAUCUUUGCUUUCGCAAAUUCGAGACCAUUGCUCUGUUAAUCGUCAGUUGAGAUCUUCGAACAGCAAGAAAAUGGGUUUCAUAAUGGAGUUCGCAGAGAAUUUGGUGUUGAGGUUAAUGGAGGACCCAAAAGAGAGGGAUAGGAAAUUCAGGGAACACGUUUACGCGACGAAGGAUCGAUGCGCAAAGACCAAGGAGAUGUGGAGUUAUCCACUGCGGCCUUAUGGAUUUUGGACCUUUGAGCGUCACAAUGCUCAGCUCCGUUGGGAUCCUCAGAUCAGUCAAGUUCCCGGACGUAGGGAUCCUUAUGAUGACCUUCUUCAAGACAGCUAUGCCUCCUCCUCUAAGCGAAAUUGAGGAAUCAGAAGCCAUUGGCAAAUGGUUUGGAGUUUGAUCAUCAAAUGGGAAGUGGAUAUGUAAACCUUUUUAAGUAUCUCUUUGAAUUUGCUUUCAAUUGUGCUGCAGAAAGUGUCAAACUUAUUUUGUAGUGUACUUUUGAUCAUUUGAGAAUCGGAGUCUGGUUUAUGGAUGGAAAA